CCAGGUCGUCGUCUUGUUGGUUGCGUCUUCCAGCUUCUUCAUCACCGUCUGGCUCACACAAGGAGACAAAACAUACAGCACAUUAUUAUUAACAGCUACCCAUCCAGCAGUCGUAUAGUGACACCAUGUGGUGAUGAAAGUUCUUUCUCAGCCACUGCUCACUGAGGAGUCUGCAGGUUCCUACUGAGCCAUACUUUGAUAGUUGAUUUAGAACAAUCACAUGACUCUUGCGGACCAUUGGCUACUGCUCAUCCCUAUACUACCACCACCACCACCACC